GGUUGUAUGGUGUAAUGGUUAGCACUCUGGACUCUGAAUCCAGUGAUCCAGUUUCAAAUCUCGGUAGGACCU
rnacentral:tRNA from 1 species